rnacentral:rRNA from 1 species
GAUGAACGCUGGCGGCGUGCCUAAUACAUGCCAGUCGAGCGAACGGACGAGAAGCUUGCUUCUCUGAUGUUAGCGGCGGACGGGUGAGUAACACGUGGAUAACCUACCUAUAAGACUGGGAUAACUUCGGGAAACCGGAGCUAAUACCGGAUAAUAUUUUGAACCGCAUGGUUCAAAAGUGAAAGACGGUCUUGCUGUCGCUUAUAGAUGGAUCCGCGCUGCAUUAGCUAGUUGGUAAGGUAACGGCUUACCAAGGCAACGAUGCAUAGCCGACCUGAGAGGGUGAUCGGCCACACUGGAACUGAGACACGGUCCAGACUCCUACGGGAGGCAGCAGUAGGGAAUCUUCCGCAAUGGGCGAAAGCCUGACGGAGCAACGCCGCGUGAGUGAUGAAGGUCUUCGGAUCGUAAAACUCUGUUAUUAGGGAAGAACAUAUGUGUAAGUAACUGUGCACAUCUUGACGGUACCUAAUCAGAAAGCCACGGCUAACUACGUG